rnacentral:rRNA from 1 species
UACGUAGGGGGCAAGCGUUAUCCGGAUUUACUGGGUGUAAAGGGAGCGCAGGCGGUAUGGCAAGUCAGAUGUGAAAACCCAGGGCUCAACCCUGGGACUGCAUUUGAAACUGCCAUACUGGAGUGCCGGAGAGGUAAGUGGAAUUCCUAGUGUAGCGGUGAAAUGCGUAGAUAUUAGGAGGAACACCAGUGGCGAAGGCGGCUUACUGGACGGUAACUGACGCUGAGGCUCGAAAGCGUGGGAGCAAACAGGG